rnacentral:lncRNA from 1 species
AGAGCUGUUAGAGCAGGGACGCGCGAAAGGCGGGAGUACGGGCGGCGCUGGAGAACCUCCGCGGCGGAGGGGCCUGGGGGUGGGACCGCGCCCGCGAGCCCGCCCUGACCGGGGUGCGUUCUACUGGCAGUUGCUGAGUUCGGAAGAUUAACUCUGAAUGUGGAGAGAUUAUUUUCUUGCUCGUAAACCUGGUUUACAUAUUUUCAUUCUUAAUGCUCAGUAAUCUUAAGGAAAGUCACCUGAAAGAAUACUUUUUCACCAAGUACUCUUCUGCGCCUGUUUGAAGGUGUCUGUGUGCUUGUGAAGCGCUCCCUUGUUAGUUCCUUCUGUGAGACUCGGGGGAGACUGAAGAGGGAAAUCACCUGCGGGGAAUGAACAGGAAAGCAAUAAGAAGAUUUGGAAAAGAGGCACUGGCUACUGGAGGAAGGGAGAAAUCACCGAGAGAGCGAAAGAUGUAACAGUGACUCAUGCCUAUAAUCCCAGUACUUUGGAAGGUCAAGGCACAAGGAUCCAUUGAGGCCAGGAGUCCAAGACCAGCCUGCACAAUGUAGCAAGACUCCUUCUCUACAAAAAAAUAAAUAAAAAUUAGCCAGGCAUGGUGGUGCACUCCUGUAGUCCCAGCUACUCAAGAGGCUGAUGUAGAGAAUCGCAUUAUCCCAGAGGUCAAGGCUGCAGUGAGCCGUGAUCAUGCCUCUGCACUCCAGCCUGGACGAUAGAGCAAGACUUUAUCUCAAAAAACAAAAAUUUAAAAAGAUAUCAGGUAGCUCAUAGAAUUGUUGAGAGGGCUGUAAAACCAGGCUUGAACUUAAACAGCAACGAUAAACCACCCACAGAACGGACAUGAUGAAGAAGUUGGCAAAUGUUACCAACUGUCCUGGUUUUUUUGGUGACUGUAGUUUCCAAGGAUUCAGAUCCUUCCAUGCCAAAAUCUGAAAAAUGCUGGGCAAAGUAUGACUGACAAUGUGGUAAUCUUACAGCUAGCACUAGAGACAUCAAGCACUAGACAACACAAUUUGCCCUUUGGCCACUUAUACAAUGGGAACUCACGCUUGCAGUAACCUCUAUUGCCACUAGGAGAGAGAAACACAGAAGGAGGAAGGGAGAAGGGAGAGAGAGGAAAAAAACUGUUGCUUGUCUCCUUAGCUGUGAGUCAAAGGUCUAACACAGAUGUCUGGCUGAAAAGCCUAGGUCACAUGCCUGCACCCCAGAGAAAGUAUGUGACAUCUUCUGCUUCCAUUAUGGGAAACAGCCUUUGCUUGUCACGAAGAUUUACAUGGUGAGACAUAUCCUAAAUAUAGGGAAGCUGUUGAAGUGGCCCAAAUAAUGACCAAUUUCUACUAAUUUGUACUAAUAUCCAAAUUACUUUUAAUUAUCUAAUAUUACUUAGAUACAGUGAGGCAACCAUUCGUUGGAUAUAUAAUGGUUUCUUUGAUUUCAAAAAUCUUUUUUUAUGUAAUAUAUGUCUGAAGACCAUCAAAAUAAAUUCUUAAAGUCAGAUUAAUAGGAUGUUACUUAUAAUAUUAUUGUAAUUAUUUGACCACAUAAUAGUUUAUGCCCAUUAUAUACUAUGUAAUUGUAUGAUGGAAAUAAUGCUGUACUUUGUUUGUAAAAGUUUAAUUAUCCUGACCUUUGUUCAUCAUAAAGAAUUGCUCCAUUUCUAUUAUUUAUCGAGGAAAAAAGUUUCUCUCUUUUUGUUUUUAAUAUGUCAUUAGGAGAAGAGUAGUUACACGUAGGCUAGAGUGUUUGCCAAGAAGAAAUUGAUUUUAAUGGGAACCUUUUAUCUAAGACAAACUUUAAGAAGAGCAGUAAUGGACAAUGUGUUCUGUGCAACUCUUCAGCCUUCAGUCUCACAUUCAUUGUGGUCAAGUAUUUUCAGCAAAGAAUAACAAGUCAGAGUUUGUGUAUAUUUUUCAUAGCUGUUCAUUCUCUUACAGAGUAACCUUGAACAAACCUCUUAAGAUUUGUGUUUUAUCUUCAUAUACUGAAAUACAAAAUGGGAAUGCCUAUAUUUAAUCAAAGAUAUAAUUUUUACUGAUAGAUAGUAAAGAACAAAACACUGGAACAAGAAUUCCUGUCCUGCCUUUCACAAUGUGGUUUUGAGGCCUUGGCCAUGUCACUUAAAUUCUCAUAUCUGUUUUCUCAAUCUAUAAAUGAUCAUAAUACCUGCACUAUCUGUCUCAAAUUGCAUAUGUGAAAGCAUCUUAAAGGUACAAAACAAUAAAUACAAAGCAUUAUUAUUAAAUUAUUACACCUUCCAGCAUUUAAUGCUAAAAAUGCCAAAUGCGUCCUUUGGUUAUAUGUAGGAAAUAUGUCUCAGAAAAAUCAAUUUAAAAUUAUAGAAGCUAACAGGUAAGUCAUUUUAAGUGUGUGGUUAUCUUCUGCAUGGCAGAUUUUUAAAUGGUAAUUAUUAAUGAAGUUUUCCUAUACUUACUGUUUCCAAGACUCCAUUCUUUCCAAAGUUUUCUGAGUUAUGCUUAUCAUCCCUUAAGUCUUAGGGAUGCUCUUCUGAGCUUUUGG